AAGAGAAUUAACUAAAUUGGUUUAGUUGGUAGAUUGUAAAUCUAUUGUUAUGCUUUCAUAACUAGUAAGUUCGACUCUUACUUCUCUUA
rnacentral:tRNA from 1 species